GACGAACGCUGGCGGCGUGCUUAACACAUGCAAGUCGAGCGGUAAGGCCCUUUCGGGGUACGACGAGCGGCGAACGGUGAGUAACACGUGGGUGACCUGCCCUCAGCUCUGGGAGUAAAGACCUCGGGAAACGUGGGUCGUAAUAACCGGAUAUGACUCCAUGACGCAUGUUUGGUGGGGUGGAAAGACCUUGUGCGGCUGAGGAUGGGCCCGCGGCC
rnacentral:rRNA from 1 species